rnacentral:rRNA from 1 species
CAGUCGCCACGGGAAUACGUAGGGCGCAAGCGUUGUCCGGAAUUAUUGGGCGUAAAGAGCUCGUAGGCGGUCUGUCGCGUCUGGUGUGAAAUCCCGAGGCUCAACCUCGGGCUUGCAUCGGGUACGGGCAGACUAGAGUGCGGUAGGGGAGACUGGAAUUCCUGGUGUAGCGGUGGAAUGCGCAGAUAUCAGGAGGAACACCGAUGGCGAAGGCAGGUCUCUGGGCCGCAACUGACGCUGAGGAGCGAAAGCAUGGGAGCGAACAGGAUUAGAUACCCCAGUAGUCCCUGUCUCUUAUACA